AGGUGGCCUAGUGGUUUAAUGCAUUCGGGUCUCACCGCUGCGACCAGAGCUCCAACCCCGGCUCUGAACUCAAGGACUUUUCUAGGUUCAGGUCUCGAUUUGAAUUUAUCGCUGUAAGUGGGUUGAACUUGUUUCUCCUGUGCUUCCAGUCUCAAGUUUUAAAGGGGAAGUUAAAGAACCCGUGUGCUAGUCGUAAAAGUGGGUAAUUGCUCCCGGUGCCACGGCCUAUCUAUCUAUCUCUCACUGGACUCAGAGGACAAAGAGCCACCACGUGGAAGAGCCUCAAUUGGUUGCUCCAUUGUCGCCAGCAGCGCCGCUGACACCAGAUACAGUGUCCAUCACAAAGCCAGUCUUGGUGUCCGCCAGCACUGACCCAGCGUCUGCCCCGGCAGCCCCGACUGCAGACGAGAAAGAAAAGGAGGAGAAGAAGAAAGAGAAGCGCUCAGUCAGUCCAUCCAUGAAAAAAGUCAUACCCAGCUUUAUAAAGCGAUGGGUCGGGAUCCAGUAUUAAAGGGAUUGUCUUGUCAGCAUGUUUUGAGAGAAAAGCGAUCGUGAUGUCUCACGCGCGUGCCAUGAUCGCGAUCGUGAGUCUGAUCGUGUUUAUUUGUGUGAUAGUAAUCGUGACUGUGAUUGCCCAUUACCGGAGAUACCACUGGUCGAUAAUCGAGAAUUGAGAGAUUGAAGUUGCUAUCACGUGCCGUUCAUUGAACCAGAGUUCAAGAUUAUGGUCACGUGUAUUGAGUUGAGCCAAAAACUUUUGUUUCCUGUGCUCAAAUCAGAAUUCCACAACAUUUAAAUAACGAAAAACGGGGAUCUAAAAAAGCGCGAGGAAAACAGCGCACACCCCCCAAACUCCUAUCUCGAAAACAUUCUACAGGCUAGUUCUCUAUAGAGGAAAGAGGAAUAAGUACUAUAACAAGCUCUAUGGAAGCCAGGGGAACAAGUACGAAACAAAAAAUGACAUUUUAUGCAAGAAGUAUAGCUGCUGAUAUAUUAAUCAUAGAGUUAAGCUUAAAGCUGUAAUGAUUCAGUGAUACCUCUAUUAAGCAACCAACCCUAUUUAAAGUAUACAUUAUACAAAGUGCAUUAUACAAAAUACUUUCUAUCCUCUAAGACGAGCCACUUUCCCUGGCCCGAGGGUGACCACUUAAUAAAGCUACCACUGUUACCAAUGCAAUUUUUCAUAUUUGAAAUAAAAAGUUUUAGAAAA